UAAAUUAAUUUAAAAUAAAAGUAAAAUUUAAUGUAUGUAAAUGCCUAUCUUAAUUACUUAAGUACAACCCCUUUCUCAUUUUUCAGCAAACACAAAUUUGGAGCAACGAAUAACUCUUUUGGAAAGUAACCAACAACUUAUUUUGGAUAAUCAAAACCAAAUUUUACAAAAAUUGGGAAACGUAGAGCAAAGCAAUUUGACUGCAACAAGCUGGAAAAAAUGAAAAAAAAAUGUUCCAGAUAACAAGCUGAAAAGAUCGUUCCCAAUACCUAGCAUUAACGAGAUGAAGGAAAUGGAAUCUGCAUGCAGCGAGAAUUCAGAGCAUUAUAUUUCCAUAAUUAAAACCCUUAUUGCACCUGAAGGUUUAGCAAAAAACAACGAUUGACAGAAAAGUCAUCCUAAUGAUGAAUUAUGAUGGCGUCAAUAACAAAAUUUCAUUUAAGCAAUACAAGGCCUUCAAUAAUGCGAUAUUUGGUAAAAUACAGUUAAUUUUGUAUGGAAAUUUAUAACUAAUCAACAUAUUUCUUUGCAGAAGCGCUUAAAAAGAA